UACGUAGGGGGCAAGCGUUGUCCGGAAUCAUUGGGCGUAAAGCGCGCGCAGGCGGUCCUUUAAGUCUGAUGUGAAAGCCCACGGCUCAACCGUGGAGGGUCAUUGGAAACUGGGGGACUUGAGUGCAGGAGAGAAGAGUGGAAUUCCACGUGUAGCGGUGAAAUGCGUAGAGAUGUGGAGGAACACCAGUGGCGAAGGCGACUCUUUGGCCUGUAACUGACGCUGAGGCGCGAAAGCGUGGGGAGCAAACGGG
rnacentral:rRNA from 1 species